GCGUGGGCUAAUCGAGGAUUUCUCAAUUGCACUGAUUGUUAUUUGUCGUAGUGCCCAGGGAAGCUUUCAUAUUGAUAUGAUAGGAUAGAAAAUUUCUCAAGAGGCAGACGUGACUAUUGGCUUGCAUCAUAAUGUAAUUUUGUCUGGAAGGUAGAACUGUUUGUCAUGAAAAAUACAUGGAAUGGUGAAUUCUGAGUGAGGUAAAUAGGAGAGAUGUCUUACUCUCGAAUCUAUUUAGAGCCUGGAAGGUCUUACCUUGGAUGGAUUAGUUCUUUGCCGUGAACUAACAUAAAAAAUUAUGAGGAAAGAAGAAAAAAAGAGAGCAGUGAGGUGCUUGGGGAGUGCUUGUGCAUGUAUAUGUAAAUGAGUGAAGAGUAAAGAAGUGAGUAUGUUUUAGCUAAAUCUUCACAGUGCCAUGCCAACAUCUUCUCUGUUUGCUAUUCAUUCUUUGAGAUUGUAAAGAAUUUCGGUCCUCAUUUAAUCGGUAGUAAAUUGAUCGUUGUCCAUCCUUGCACAUGAGUCCUAUAUGAAACUAAAUAAACAUUGAAGUGUGUUUGCCAAAUUCGAGUGCAACCGUGUUGAUUCUGCUGUUCAUAUGCUUAUUGUUGGAUCAAACUUGUUAUUCUCUUCUUGUUGGAUUAGACUUGUCAUCCUUUCUGCUAGUGCUUACAAUGUUAUGUUUACUGGACAUGUCUCCCUUGUGAAUGAGCAGCGGAGUCUACUGAAAUCCGCUGAAUAUUCUGCCGAGAGCUUGUCUCUCAAAAUGGAAGCUCAGGAAGGUCGCUGACUGCACUUGACAAGGCCCUGCGAGGACGAAAUCGAAGUUAUCCAUCACUGGGUGAAACUCCUGCUCUUUCCGUAUCCGCAUUGCUUUCAACUUGAAAGGUUCGAGUACAGGUAUAUCCAUGUAAAUUUGGUGAGGAAAGAUCAAUUCAGUACAGAUCCAUUGUACGCAUUGAUUUACUUAUUUGCUGUCUCCAACACAAGAUCAAAACACGAGUCUCUCUUCUUGAUUUUACAGCUUACCCAAUCACUCCUCAAGAUCCCAACACCAAUCUCUCUUCUUCUCCCCAUCUUUCUCCCCCCUUAUCGAGCCCCCACAACCACACGUGGCUUGUGUCAUUGACAUGCCUCUGGUGCCACCAUCAAUCUUGACCUUCCUCGCUCCGCCAUUCAAUGCCGGUGCCUAUGAAGGGUCAUGUAAUGCUCCAUUCACUCUCUCUCCCCUAUCGCUUCAAUGUCAGCCGUCAUCCCUGCUUUCGUGUAGCUAUCUCUCUCCCUCUCUUGGAUAAGGACAGAUGAGCUCACCUGAACGUCAAGUUUAUGCCUUUGGAGGGUCCCAAGACCCAGCGUUGAGCUCCCCUCAUCAUUUACAAUUACUUUGUCGACAAUGACGAAAUCAGAAGGUCAUCUCAAGAUUUGGGGAUGCCUCAUCCAUCUACCUAUCCAUUGAGAUUGAGGUGAGAUCUCAAAGGCCAUGGCCAGAUCAGGUCAUCAAUGGUGGUGCCGAGACCUUAUAGAGAUUUGGUGGUGAGAGAAGAGACAGAGUGAGGAGAGAGUGUUUUCGGUUUGCAAAUAGAGAAAACAAAUAUGGUCGUGGAUGACACAACGGAGAUAACAGCAAGAUGUGGAGGAGUGACGGUGCUGACAAAUGGUCAUAACGGUCGGAGACGGUAGCUAAUGGUGAAGAAUGAGAGGGUUGAUUGAGUAGGAAGACUAUUAUUAGCCAAUGUGAUGAGCACACUGAGAAGUGCAACAAAUAUAGGUCCAUGUUUCCUUUUUGAUCUUGUCUUGUUUAUUAUUUUGUCAACUUUGUAUCUCCAUUA